GCUCGCAAACUUUCUGCCAGCGGGCCCUCUUGUUCUUAUGAAACCAUGAGAUUAUUUCAUUAGGAAAGAGGUUGUGAUACACGGUGGCUGUGUGUCUCCAAUCUCAAUCAUCAGCAGCUCUGAACCUAUGAGACAGAACGUCCAAACCUACCUUGAUGGGUAAACGUUUGUCCCGUUUGUCCCGUUUGUCCCUGGUGACUCAGCAACCAGACAGAACUUGUCACGAUUCAGUACACGCAGUCCAUGGCUGCCCAAACCCGGACGUCAACCGUGAAAUCUUCCGAUUAUCCACGCCAAGAAGCCCUGCAGCCCCCACAACAACAGUACAAGUACUUUUGUCUCUCCAUCCAGGUGGAGAUUUCUUUUUUGUCCUGACCCCUACACAAAGUUACGCAUUUCGGUCGCUGAUUGCCGAUUGCCGGCUUGAUGAGCCCUCUAAUUGUCCGAACAAGCUGCAACAUCAGCAUUAGACAGUACGGAGCGGGUCGUACCUAAUGGCCAGCCCUGCCAGCUAUCGUUAGAAAGAGAGCCAAUCCCUUGUCUACAGCCAACUGGGCUCCGGCUCCCGGAGGUUUUCCUUGUUUAACCAAAUACCGACGCCGAUUACGCCUACGAGUGUUUAUGGCAGUCAGUUUUGGUUAACUCAACUCCGUGGGGGCUCUCAUGAGCUGUGCUAGAGCGGCUAACCGCUGAAGCUGCGCAUCUGGCGAUUGCACCCUUGAUCCACAGAAAGCGUGCGUGCGAACGGCUUGGAUGCUACAGAGCGAAACCCCCUUAGCACGUCGGUCCUCGGACGUCUGCGAUGUGCAAUCGGUGGAAAGGUGACGACACAAAGAAAGGAGAUCGGAUUGUUGUCGGCAGCGGACUCCUACGACCAAUAAGCGAAGAUUUCCAUGCAUCCCGCAGGUGGUAAGCGGUGGAGGAGGGGGGCGAGGGGCGUUCUUCAUGUGCGACGUUGCAUGUGGGUUGUCCCAAAGUUGACUUGUGUACAUACUCACAAGUAGCGAAAGCUCGUUUGAUCCCAGCUGUGGGGGACACAAUUACCAUUCUGGAUUACACACUCCACCGUCUGCAUUCCAAACGGUCUCGAACGGUCAUGUCUGACCAAUCCCUGAUUGGUGUGUGUCUGAUACCCUUCUGGUUCCAUCUUGCUGUUUGCUACUAGAGCAAGGUAGGGAGCCCACCAACACCACCAGGAGACGUUAAUCUUCUGCUAAUUCGGUAUAUGAUGAAUAAUUGAAACAGAACAACCAUAGGAGAUAUCGAUCACUUCCUUGUACACGAUCCCUUUGGUAAAAGGCUGCCAGCUUGGGUGUUUCCGAUCUACAUUCAAACCUCCUGGCCAUGAAAACUUACUUGGGAGCUACAGGGUCACAGACUUUCAUAAUCAUUUCAUAUUGCAGACAGGGUGGGGGAGGUAUGGCCAGGCGGACUUGUGCUUGAACAGGAAUCUUCCUGAGCUCCAGAGCAAGUGGUCAACACCAAACAAGUGGUUUUCAUCGAUCUACAGAGUCCCUACAGAGUCCCUGGAUCCGAGACCUCUUUGUUAUCAUUCAGGUUGUCAAUCUCGCGAAAGAUUAGCAUUGUUUUGUUAUGCCUACAAGCAACGCACAAGCCGUGAGCCGAACACAGAGCCGGCUGCAACCUAUAAUCCCAAAAUGGCAGUCUGCUUGUUCCUGUCCUUCAUCGAUUACAUCUUCUCUACUGGACGGGCUUGCAUGCGACUUUAUGCAAUGGAUCGAGAACCGGAAUUUCUGUUCCUAUGAAACUCCUCCGCGGCCGUCUCGAUCUCCACGAUCCAUUCCAGCCUCUGAGAGCAGAUAAUUCUGUCGACACUUUCGGACGCCGAACCAGUGCUCGACACCUUGCACCAAAAGACAAAGUAGCAAACUACUUGUACUACUCGAAUGAAAGGGUAAGAUUCACGCUAAGGGCUUAGCAUGGCUGACCACCUGGUUAUGAUAAAUACACCGCAUUAGUGCAACGUUGAUUUAUUGCAUCGAACUCAGACACACGGAUUACUGCUGCCAAUGUAGCGUUGUCCUCCUGGCGAUGGCGAUAGAUGGAUGAGAUAUUUUCGGCGACAGUGGAUGGUGCAUGGUGGGAUAACAUUUCAUCUCCAUUGACUAUUCAAGGCCACAUUCAGACAUCUACGCACUUCAUAAGCUUGGAGUGCAUUGAUGCUAAUCAUCCAUAGUGGAAGACAAGCCACCUUAUAGCAUUAGACCCGCUUGGCAUAUGAUGGACAUGCCCUGUAAAUGAGGUGCAGGUUUCGAUCACUCAUAAUGUGAGAAGGCACCACAAAGAAGAUUUAGUGCGGUUCACCUGGUUGACAGUUUAGACUGCUCGUCUUAGCACCACGGAACUGCCCUACUUUCUCUCUUUAUCCAGUACCUGCCUUGAUUAGGGCUUGAUCCGUAGUGUUUAGGAAACAAGGGUUCGUGUCACUAGCUCGUGGAUGACGUAGAAUUGGCACUAGCGCGACACUAGCAUGGCACUAGAAGGCUCCAAGCCGUUCCAUUAGUGCGCUAGCGUCGAUUGCCACAGCUGCUUGCUACCGUUGUCAUCGAGUCCAAGUGCCAAAAAAUAUCCAGGUCCACAAACUCUGAAACUUUCCACGAUGUUUUGUUGCACAGGGCUUCCGGGGUGACAGAAAGUGAGGAGCCUCACGAUAUGGGCUGUAGAGAGUUGUCGCACUCUGUACACUGGAGCCGCAGCGAGUCCCUUACACACAUCUGGACUCUUUUUGGAGGCAAAGAAUGGACUGUUUCCGAUUAGCUAGGUGUGCAGAUUCGGUAGCCGGCAGCACCACCAAACAGAAUUCGAACUAUGCCAUGGCUUGAGAAAAAAAUAAAACCUAUAGGCCCCUGAG
rnacentral:misc_RNA from 1 species